GGGUUGUGAGGUUAAGCGACUAAGCGUACACGGUGGAUGCCCUGGCAGUCAGAGGCGAUGAAGGGCGUGCUAAUCUGCGAUAAGCGCCGGUAAGGUGAUAUGAACCGUUAUAACCGGCGAUACCCGAAUGGGGAAACCCAGUGUGACUCGUCACACUAUCAUUAACUGAAUCCAUAGGUUAAUGAGGCGAACCGGGGGAACUGAAACAUCUAAGUACCCCGAGGAAAAGAAAUCAACCGAGAUUCCCCCAGUAGCGGCGAGCGAACGGGGAGGAGCCCAGAGCCUGAAUCAGCAUGUGUGUUAGUGGAAGCGUCUGGAAAGGCGCGCGAUACAGGGUGACAGCCCCGUACACAAAAGCGCAUGUGUUGUGAGCUCGAUGAGUAGGGCGGGACACGUGGUAUCCUGUCUGAAUAUGGGGGGACCAUCCUCCAAGGCUAAAUACUCCUGACUGACCGAUAGUGAACCAGUACCGUGAGGGAAAGGCGAAAAGAACCCCGGCGAGGGGAGUGAAAAAGAACCUGAAACCGUGUACGUACAAGCAGUGGGAGCCCCACCACUAAGCCAGUGGUGAACUCCACAUACGCAUCCUUUGCUGAGGAUACGGUUAACGGAGCGAAAGCGACGUUCAACCGCAAAAGAAGCAGAGGGGGCUUAGUGGUGGGGUGACUGCGUACCUUUUGUAUAAUGGGUCAGCGACUUAUAUUCUGUAGCAAGGUUAACCGUAUAGGGGAGCCGUAGGGAAACCGAGUCUUAACCGGGCGUUAAGUUGCAGGGUAUAGACCCGAAACC
rnacentral:rRNA from 1 species